rnacentral:rRNA from 1 species
AGUGAACGCUGGCGGUAGGCCUAACACAUGCAAGUCGAACGGCAGCACAGUAAGAGCUUGCUCUUACGGGUGGCGAGUGGCGGACGGGUGAGGAAUAUAUCGGAAUCUACUUUUUCGUGGGGGAUAACGUAGGGAAACUUACGCUAAUACCGCAUACGACCUACGGGUGAAAGCAGGGGAUCUUCGCACCUUGCGCGAUUGAAUGAGCCGAUGUGGGAUUAGCUAGUUGGCGGGGUAAAGGCCCACCAAGGCGAGGAUCCGUAGCUGGUCUGAGAGGAUGAUCGGCCACACUGGAACUGAGACACGGUCCAGACUCCUACGGGAGGCAGCAGUGGGGAAUAUUGGGCAAUGGGCGCAAGCCUGGCCCAGCCAUACCGCGUGGGUGAAGGAGGCCUUCGGGUUGUGAAGCCCUUUUGUUGGGAAAGAAAAGCAGCAGGUUAAUACCCCGCUGUUCUGACGGUACCCAAAGAAUAAGCACCGGCUAACUUCGUG